UACAGAGGUCCCAAGCGUUGUUCGGAUUCAUUGGGCGUAAAGGGUGCGUAGGUGGCGUCGUAAGUCGGGUGUGAAAUCUCGGGGCUUAACUCCGAAACUGCAUUCGAUACUGCGGUGCUCGAGGGUUGGAGGGGGGACUGGAAUUCUCGGUGUAGCAGUGAAAUGCGUAGAUAUCAGGAAGAACACCCGUGGCGAAGGCGGCUCUCUGGUACGUGACUGACGCUGAGACGCGAAAAGC
rnacentral:rRNA from 1 species